CAAAGAGGUAUUACAUCUCUUUAAGGGAAAGUGCCCUAUCAUAUUGUAAAAUUCUUUCAGUUAAUGAAUAUACCUGUUGACAAAUCUGAGUCCACUUUUCUAGUAUGUCAAUUGGCAUUACAGGUAGCCAUUUUGUCCCUUAUGUCCCCUUUUGACUUAGCAUUUCACCCUGUUGUUGGGGGGGCAGGAUUACUCUCUUCUGUGAUGACUUCCAGCUGAACCUGGGGCAUCAUCAGGGCCCAGGGAGUCUGAUAGGCUAGUCAAAGGAUGGGCAAUGGAGCAUUUACCAGAAGCAUCUUAUUAGCUGAUCCAGCUUAAGGGUCAUAGAACAGUCACAUUGGCUGAGUGGUUGACAUCAGCUUCCAGCAAGUCCAGAGCUCAGCAGUCUACAGUUACACAAAUGAUCCCCAGAUGGUGUCUGAUGACACAAUAUGGACUAGGAGAAAAAGAUAAAGUUUAGGAACUUAAAAGAAAAGCUUACAUUUGAAACUUUCAGGUCCACAGCUGUAACAUAACUAAUAAAAACUCAGAGACAGAUAUUGGGGUUCAAACUGAAGAUCAGAAAAGCAAAGCAACCCACAACUAGAGAGUUCUCACCUCUACCAAGGCCGGAUGGUCCUGUCCUCAGGUGACUGCAAACUGUACACUCUCCACUCCUGUCUCCACCCACCUUCUUCUAUUCUUCUCCAGUGCUGGGACUAAAGGUGUGCACACUGCCCAUCAUCUACAGCUGACUAGCGUGGCUUCUGGGACUAAAGGUGGCACACUGCCCAUCAUCUAUGGCUGACUAGUGUGGCUUCUGGGACUAAAGGUGUGCGUAAUGCCUGUAAGGACAUGCACCUGGAUGACCCCACCCCCAAUGACAGGCGGGGCAUGCAGAGGAAAACGUGCUACGUCAUCACCACGUCACCUGCCACGCAUCACGGCCUUCAUGAGGACUCUGUGCAUGCGUGAAACCUCAGUGCACAUGUGCAGUCUUUCCUUUAAAAGCCUGAGAUGCUGGGACUCUGUACACUUCCACUAGCCACUUUCCCAACUAAGCAUCUUUGGAACCCACUCAUCUGCCUGUUCGAUACAAUCGGUUCGGACCACUGGGUCCUUUUCUGUUUCAGGACAGCUGUGUCCCCUUCGGGACCAGGACCAUGGGCCGAUGGGUAUCCAGAGAGGAGCUUUUGCUGGUUUUUCCACUUGCCUCACCCAUGGGGAAUGCAUAAGAAAUCUUUCUGGUUGCAGCCAACAGGAUUCUUAUAAGUUCCAGGGAGCUGAAUUGGAUCCAAACAAACAGGUCUAAGAGGUGCCAGAGAGUUCUAUACAGCCUGGACUGCGAUGAAACAAUCAGCUACCCCAAGACGUGGCAGCACCCCAACCUUCUCAGGUCCCCCAAAGAUGGUCAACGUCCCCCACAUCAGCAGGAAGCAGUCUUGAGAAUUCGACACCCUUAUUCCUUAAUCUGCCAUGUCUAACACCCCACCUUUUUUUUUUUUUAAAUAAUAAGUAAAGGUGGGAUUGAAAGGUUCAGGCAUUAUGCUGGCCUGCCCCUGUUACCUGGCGGAAGAGGCAGUACCCUGGUCAGCCCAGGGUUCCAUGGGAACUAAGUCUGCAUGCAGGUGCAGAGGACCCCUGUAAAAGACAGAUCCCUGCCCAUUUACACUCUCUCUACUCUUCUCUGUCUGCUUCUGCUUCUCUUCCCUCUGCUUCUCUAUGGCGACUGGCCAUGGCAGUCAGCCAUUAACCCUGUUUCUCUUCUCUCUUACUCUACUGUUUCCCUACUCUGCCGGGCCUGUAAUAAACUGGUUAAUAUGUCUCAUCUUGUGCCUUCCUUCUCUUCUUUGUUUCUAAUUUAAACAAAAAUUUAACACUGCUCAUCGUCUAUGGCUAACUAGUGUGGCUUCUGGGACUAAAGGUGUGGCCACCACUGCCAGUCUUGCCUAUCUGACUAGUGUGGCUAGCUUUGUACUCUGAUCUUCAGGCACGCUUUACUUAUGAGAUUAUAAACAAAAUAUCACCACACAUAGUAACUGGGGAAAGGUGGAGUCUCAAGACCAGGAGAGAGACAACAUCCUUCGGAAUAGCAAGGUGGAGAAACUUAGGCUGUACUUAUCUGGAGUACAUUUGAACUAUAAAAGGUCGAUCCAAAUCUUAUGACUUCCCUGACUCCCUGAAGCUUACAUGAAUUUUGGUUUACGAAAGGAGGUAAAUUUUCUAGAUAUAUUAGCAUUAAUCUGUACUGAAAUCCACAUUGUAGAAAUAGCAGCUAACAGUGUCUGUAAAACAACUGGAAGAGAUUUACACCUUGGAGUCAUAGCAAAAGCUAUGACUGUGAGUUAAAAAGCAUGAACAUUUAUUUUUCUGUUCAGAGAGCUAGGUAUAUAGAUUAAACAGAGAUGUGUUUAGUCUAAUAAAAAGCAUCUUUAAGUCUGUAUUUAGAAGACAACCGAAGGAAAUUUAAAAUCUUGAGCUUGUGACUGAUAAUAGCAAUCUGUGUUCUACUAGCUUACAGAGCUCCACAGAUCAAUGCUAAAACUCUGAACUUCCGAGGUCUUAAGAUACAAUAGCAUAGAGAAGAAGAAAUAUAUGAAAUAUUUCUCAUGUACCUUCUAUGCUUACAAAUUGCAGCCACACACUCCAAAACAUCUUCUUACACCUUCACAAUGCAAGCUUCGUGUCCUCAGAGCUCUGCAACUUGUGCCUACACACCUUAAGUCACUUUCUUUUUUUUUCCUUUUCUCUCUUUUUUUUUUUUCCCCCCCGAGACAGGGUUUCCCUGUGGCUUUGGAGGCUGUCCUGGAACUAGCUCUUGUAGACCAGGCUGGUCUCGACCUCACAGAGAUCCUCUGCCUCUGCCUCCCGAGUGCUGGGACUAAAGGCAUGUGCCACCAACGCCUGGCCUUAAGUCACUUUCUUAUCACUAAGUAACUUUCACAUACUCAGACCUUUAUAACUGGCAUUUACACAACUUUUUCUUUUCUUUUCUUUUCUCUCCUUUCUUUCUUUCUUCUUUUUGUUUUUUGUUUUUCAAGACAGGGUUUCUCUGUGUAGAUUUGGAGCCUAUCCUGGCACUUGCUCUGGGGACCAGGCUGGCCUUGAACUCACAAAGAUCAUCUGCCUCUGCCUCGAAAGUGCUGGGAUUAAAGGCAUGUGCUACCAACUCCUGGCCUCACACACCUUUUUCUACCCAAUCAUUCACCAUGAGACACAGGUGGUUGAUCACAUUAAAGUGAGUUUUUUUUUUAAAUGAAAUAGUAAUUAAGUUACAUUAAAAUCUGUUCUGUGAGUUUGUCUCUGUUUUUGGAGUCUGGUACCAAGGUUAACUGUGUCUAUAUCUAGUUGCAGCACUAGGAAAGUGAGGCCUGGGGCCUGAUUUAUCCAUAUGAGGAGAACUGAGAAGGCAGCUGAAGCAUUGGUUGCUGCUGUUAAACUGGCAAAAUUAUGAGUAGCUUAAUCUUUAAACACCGUCAGAGAGCUUAGAAGGAAAGAUUUCACUCCGAGUGUGCAGAAGUGCAGAACAAGCAGCUUCUGGAUCUGUUAAAACUGGCAGAGACUUAC
rnacentral:lncRNA from 1 species